AUGAAUGCGAGCCUAUCCUCGUUGCCGCAAUUUGCGAUGGGGUUGUUCCUACUGGCAGAAGGCGUGCAUGCCAAGAUGGAUACACCCAGGUCUCGUUUCUUUUGGGAAGGGACGGGACCAAAACGCAAGUACCACAUGGUUCAUUGGGAUGCGGUGUGUCGUCCCAAAGACCUCGGGGGGUUAGGGAUCACAAACACUCGGAUCCUUAACAUUGCUCUUAUGUGCAAGUGGAUUUGGAAACUGUCGCAGGGGGCGACGGGCCUGUGGGCGGAUCUGCUUCACGCUAAAUAUUUCCCGAGCGGCAAUUUCUUCGAAGGCAGGGCACGGGGCUCUCCCUUCUGGAACGAUCUUCAGGCGGUUCGCCCGGCUUUUUCUCUUGGCGCCAAAUUCGCAAUUGGCAAUGGCCGCUCGGCCCGCUUCUGGCUAGACAUGUGGGUGGGUGGGGCGCCCCUUUGGGAACAAUUUCAGGACUUAUCCGUCCUGGCUGUCAACCCGGAGCAGAAGGUAGCUUCGGCACUCGCUUCUAACCCCUCGGAGAUUCACUUUCGCCGGGAGCUAACAGGCCCUGAACAAGCACUCUUAGAAGAGUUGCUAGCCCUCAUUCAACCGGUGACGCUGUCCCCUUCAGCCGACAUGGUCACAUGGACUCUCACCUCGUCCGGCAAGUUCACGGUCAGGUCUCUAUACCGCAGGCUGUGCCAGGGUCAGGGCCCGGCCUUCCCGAUGCCGCCGGGCCUAUGGACUGCGCGGAUGCCGCUUAAGAUCAAGGUGUUCUUUUGGCAACUUUUCCGCAAUAGACUUCCCACUUCGGCUAAUAUUGCCAAACGAAACGGCCCGUCUUCCGGCCUUUGCGCCAUUUGCAACACCAUGGAGGAUGCAAAUCACGUGUUCUUCCGAUGCCCUCUCGCGCGUUUUGCUUGGAGUGCAGUCCAUGAGGCCACCAACUCCACAUGGGACCCGCACUCGGCUGGGGACCUAGCGGCCAUUGUUGCAUCGAUGAAUGGCGGCAACAAGCGAGUGCUAUGGAGCUGCCUAGGUGCCUUGGCUUGGGCUUUGUGGCUCACCAGGAACAAACUAGCAAUCGAGGGAAUUUUCCCUUCUCACCCUGCUAAUAUCCUUUACAAAUGCAACAUCUUUUUGCAGCAGUGGAGUCCGUUGGUGAGGUGUAAGGAUGCGGAGAGAAUGAAGCAAGCUCAAGAUCGUCUUCACCAAGUCUACCUUUUGGAUAGGGAGCCAACCGCCACUCAUACGUCGUGA
rnacentral:rRNA from 1 species